UACGGAGGGUUCAAGCGUUAAUCGGAAUUACUGGGCGUAAAGCGUGCGCAGGCGGUUUGUUAAGUCUGUUGUGAAAUCCCCGAGCUCAACUUGGGAAUUGCAAUGGAUACUGGCAGGCUGGAGUAUGGUAGAGGAAGGUGGAAUUCCCGGUGUAGCAGUGAAAUGCGUAGAGAUCGGGAGGAACACCAGUGGCGAAGGCGGCCUUCUGGACCAAUACUGACGCUCAUGCACGAAAGCGUGGGGAGCAAACAGG
rnacentral:rRNA from 1 species